AUUGAACGCUGGCGGCAGGCUUAACACAUGCAAGUCGAGCGGGCGAGGUUGCUUCGGUAACUGGGCUAGCGGCGGACGGGUGAGUAAUGCUUAGGAAUCUGCCUAUUAGUGGGGGACAACAUUCCGAAAGGAAUGCUAAUACCGCAUACGCCCUACGGGGGAAAGCAGGGGAUCUUCGGACCCUGCGCUAAUAGAUGAGCCUAAGUCAGAUUAGCUAGUUGGUGGGGUAAAGGCCUACCAAGGCGACGAUCUGUAGCGGGUCUGAGAGGAUGAUCCGCCACACUGGGACUGAGACACGGCCCAGACUCCUACGGGAGGCAGCAGUGGGGAAUAUUGGACAAUGGGCGAAAGCCUGAUCCAGCCAUGCCGCGUGUGUGAAGAAGGCCUUUUGGUUGUAAAGCACUUUAAGCGAGGAGGAGGCUACUUGGAUUAAUACUCUAGGAUAGUGGACGUUACUCGCAGAAUAAGCACCGGCUAACUCUGUGCCAGCAGCCGCCGUAA
rnacentral:rRNA from 1 species